UUUGGUUUAGCGUGGGGACUGGCCAGAUGGCGAAGAGUUCUCUGUCUUAUCAUGUACUGCAAUAUAUGAAACAAAGAAUUACAGGAAAUUAUACAAGUUCCAGCUAUUAAAAUGAAGAAACACAUAAGGAUACUCCAUACUGUCUAAAGACUGCCUUUAAUACAUCUUUUGUUGCCAUCUGGAUCAAGAUUAUCAUUGAUUUUGACCACUAUCACCUUUGCCAACACUUUUGCCCACAGUAUCAAUGACAGUUUGAAGAAUAGGAGCAUAUUGUGGAUUUAAAAUGGCGGCAGCGGGACUUCCGGUUGACGCACUUCCGGUCAGCGUCCCGCACUUCCGGUCAGCGAUUCCUCAAUCUGAGACCUUCUAUUACUUUCUGAGGAUGUAGUUUGCAUACAGUUAGUGACUACAUGUCAUUUAACAGCUUGUUAUGAAAGUUUUAUACUGUAUGAUAGUUUGUAUAGUUGGAAUGACGUCACUUCCGAUUUCGGGAUGACGAAACCGGAAGUACCAAUUUCACUGCCUUUUUAAAGAGAUCCUGGAGCAGAGGGGGUUAUCUGCCUUGAGAAAGGAACCUUGUGUGUUCCGAAACGUGUUGGCAACAUCCCCCGUUUGGACGGUCUCACCAUCAUCUGGACCAGAGGAGUGAUACCUGCCGGAGUGAGGACUUUAAGAUCUGGGAGCAAAUGCAGGGCAAGUCCGGACUUCCCUGCAUAAAUUAUCACCUGCAGCUCCCCUACGUAUAUCCUCGGUAGGACUCCUUCCUUAUAUCACAUUGUGCCUGGUGUGAUAUUUUAUUAGUUGUAUUUUAUUAGUUGUAUGGUAUUUAGGUUAUUAAAGUGUGCAUUUGUUUACA